AUUGAAACACCAGUUCCCGUACGAUCACCAAAGUUAAGCAAAGUCGAGCCUUGUCAGUACCUAAAUGAGUGAUCACCUGCAAAUAAUAGGUGCUAUA